GGGCAGAUAGCUCAGGUGGUAGAGCAUGAUACUCUUGAUCUCAGGAUCAUGGAUUCAAGUCCCACACUGGGCA